rnacentral:tRNA from 1 species
GCUACGGUGGUCUAGCGGUUAGAACGCUGGCCUUGUAAUCCUGGGGUCCCGGGUUCAAUUCCCGGUGGUGCU